rnacentral:lncRNA from 1 species
AGCAGGGCUGACAUUCACAUGGUUGAACUUCUCUACCACAUCGAGGAGCUGAAUGACAGCAUUGUGGCCAUUUUCCCCCUGCUUCAGGCCCUGAGAACCAGAGUCAGCAACCUCCCCACAGUGAAGAAGUUUCUACAGCCUGGCAGCCAGAGGAAGCCUUUGGAAGACGAGAAGUUUGUAGAAGAGCUUAAGAAGAGCUUCUUUUAAAUGGCACCUGGACAGGACAGAA